rnacentral:rRNA from 1 species
AGAGUUUGAUCAUGGCUCAGGAUGAACGCUGGCGGCGUGCCUAAUACAUGCAAGUCGAACGAGGUGCUUUUGUAGCAAUACGAGAGUAUCCUAGUGGCGAACGGGUGAGUAACGCGUUGGUGACCUACCCCAAAGUGUGGGAUAACAGUCCGAAAGGAUUGCUAAUACCGCAUGUGGUCUUCGGGUUUAGAAACUGAUGACUAAAGGAGCAAUUCGCUUUGGGAGGGACCUGCGUCCCAUCAGCUAGUUGGUGAGGUAAUGGCUCACCAAGGCUACGACGGGUAGGGGACCUGAGAGGGUGACCCCCCACAAUGGAACUGAAACACGGUCCAUACACCUACGGGUGGCAGCAGUAGGGAAUAUUGCACAAUGGGCGAAAGCCUGAUGCAGCAACGCCGCGUGUGCGAUGAAGGCCUUCGGGUCGUAAAGCACUUUUCUGGGAGAUGAGCAAGGACAGUAUCUCAGGAAUAAGUCUCGGCUAACUACGUG